rnacentral:rRNA from 1 species
UGCGUAGGCGGCGUGGUAAGUCGGAUGUGAAAUCUCGGAGCUUAACUCCGAAACUGCAUUCGAUACUGCCGUGCUUGAGGACUGGAGAGGAGACUGGAAUUUACGGUGUAGCGGUGAAAUGCGUAGAUAUCGUAAGGAAGACCAGUGGCGAAGGCGGGUCUCUGGACAGUUCCUGACGCUGAGGACAAGGCCAGGGGAGGCAAACG